rnacentral:rRNA from 1 species
ACGCUCGACACCUACGGGAGGCAGCAGUGAGGAAUAUUGGUCAAUGGGCGCAGGCCUGAACCAGCCAAGUAGCGUGAAGGAUGACUGCCCUAUGGGUUGUAAACUUCUUUUAUAUGGGAAUAAAGUUUUCCACGUGUGGAAUUUUGUAUGUACCAUAUGAAUAAGGAUCGGCUAACUCCGUGCCAGUAGCCGAGGUAAUCUGAGCGGGCUGGCAAGGC